ACGUCGAAAGGAGGUGAUCGGGUACAUGAGUGACACCCGGACGCGCGAGGUGGCUGCGGGCUAGCGGCUCGCCACCACACCAAGUGCGGUGCCGGACCAGCGUGCGUUAGAGGUACGCAGCCGGCCCAAUCCCAAGCAGUCACCCGACCCGCGAGUUCGCCGGUACGUCCGGCCGGCUUCCCCGCCGUGAGGCAGGGGGACCCGAGCUCGCGGGUCGUCUGCG
rnacentral:sRNA from 1 species